ensembl:lncRNA
AAGUCCUGGAGACUGAGUUACCUGAUAGCAAGGACACAGGAAACAAAGAUGAACAAGUCUGUUAUGAUGCUGAUGUUUUAGAGUCCAUUAGUACAAAAGUUGUGGCUGACAUUUUAGCAGGCUUACCUCCUACAGAGACCAAGGCUGAUGAUCUGGAAGAAGUUUGCAGUCCGAAAGAGGCGCUUGUCUUGGAGGACACUCAAGAAGAACUUUAUCGCAAUGAGUCAAUUACUUCUUCAAUGUCCGACACUCCAUCAAGUGCAGAGAGCGUGUAUGAGAAUGAAGCCAUGCAUAAGAGGCAGGACUCACUAAGACAGGAACCAUUGGAGAACAUUGCACCCCAACCAGAUAAUGUUGACGAUGGAGAUAUGUUAGACCCAUUGGGUAUAGACUCACAAGAAGCCAUCUUAGAAAGUUUUGGAUGUGAGGAUACAGAAGAAACCAUCCUUGCGCACUACAUCCGAGAGGAAGUUCUGUCAGAUGUCUCUACAGAGUCUUGCCGUGACCCAGACGAAUUAGAAGAGUGUCUUCAGGUCGAAAUUGCUGCAGCAUCAUCAGACAGUGAAACCGAUGAGAAAUGGAGGAGCAUCUUCUCUUCCUCAAUAAAUAAGGAAGAUGAUGAUGCCUACAUUGACAGCCUUGAGCUGAGCGCACAAGAACUCUUUAUUCAAAAACCUGCAGUACAGAAUACUGAGGACGUUUUAAAGGAAUCUGAAGAGCCAGAGGUUCCGGUGGGAGAAGAAGUGCUAGAACAACCGGAGAAUGAGACAGUUCAGCAACCGCAAGAGAUCUCUUACAGUCCUUCCACACUGUUUCACGGCUUGUCCAAGAUUUCCGAAGACGAUGAGGAGCUUGGACGAGGCUCAGCAACCCACAAGAGCAAUUCAUUUGAUUCUGUCAAAUCCGAUUCCAGCAAAAAGGUGCCGAAAGAUUAUUGUGUGAUUCAGGAAAUGAAAAGCGAGAACGUCAGCACAGAACAUGUGGAUUUCAAAGUUGCUCGCCAACAGUGGCUAGAGAUCGAAGAGCAAACGAAAAACUUGACGCACCAUCCAAGCACACCAACAACUCGAUCUGGCACCUGCCAAGGUAGUCACAGUUUCAUGUAUACGCCAGUCCGCAACAUCGAAAGACCCAAGAGGGACCUCGAGAGCUUGUCGCUUGUAGAGGAUUAUGCACACACCCAGUUCAGUCCUUGCUCUGAGGAUUCAGGUCUGGACGACUCUAGUUACAGAUCACCGUUUGAUGACCCAGAGACCCCAAUUGAGAAGGAGAUUCGCCUAACCAUGGAGCGUGAGCAGAACCUGAGGAGUGAGAGGGGAAUGUCAAAAUCAUACUCCAGUGACUGUGUACAGAUGAGGGUGAGAACUGCCAACUUGAACACUGGAAAACUAUGCCAAGAAGUCGAUGAGAAAAGGAAGAUGUUUGAAGACCAGGAUGAUGACGAAAGUUUAUCCAAGUCUCUCAGCAACAAGAUGCCUUCUUUCAUCAUUACCUCCUCACCAACUAAGAAACAAGACUUGAGCGCCAACAAUGUUAUCAUUCUUGAGCCAGAACCUUUCCCUCCAAGUCCACGGCAUGGAAAGAUGGUGUCCUCCAAAUCUGCUGACUGGAGACCUGAAGACACCCCUAAUGUCAUCAUUUUGGAGACAUCAAACCUCAUCAUUCGAAGUGCAUCUGAGUUCAACUUGAAUUCUGUCUCUGAGGAAACCCAGGAGAAGAUGUUCCUCAACAACCCGUUUUUCAAGCUGCGGUCCAGGAGUACGCUAUCUCUAGUUGAUGAGGAGAUUAAGAUGGUGAAGCAGCGAGAAGAGGAACUCAAGCGUCAAAGGGCCACUCUUUACUCUAAGGAUCACUUCCUGAUGUCCCCGAACCGUUUGGACAGCUCAUCGUUUACAGAUGAUGUGCCAA